rnacentral:rRNA from 1 species
GAUGAACGCUAGCGGCAGGCCUAAUACAUGCAAGUCGAACGGGAUCCAGAUCAAAGCUUGCUUUGGUUUGGUGAGAGUGGCGCACGGGUGCGUAACGCGUGAGCAACCUACCCUUGUCAGGGGGAUAGCCCGGCGAAAGUCGGAUUAAUACCGCAUGACAUCAUUGAGAGGCAUCUUUCGAUGAUCAAAGAUUUAUCGGACAAGGAUGGGCUCGCGUGACAUUAGCUAGUUGGUAAGGUAACGGCUUACCAAGGCUACGAUGUCUAGGGGCUCUGAGAGGAGAAUCCACCACACUGGUACUGAGACACGGACCAGACUCCUACGGGAGGCAGCAGUAAGGAAUAUUGGUCAAUGGACGGAAGUCUGAACCAGCCAUGCCGCGUGCAGGAAGACGGCCCUAUGGGUUGUAAACUGCUUUUAUACGGGAACAAACGUCGGUACGUGUACCGGUCUGAGUGUACCGUAAGAAUAAGGAUCGGCUAACUCCGUG